AGAGAAAAAGCAGUGAAGAUCCUGGCUGAUAACCACAAGAGCUUACCUAGUUAUAGAUCAGAGGUAUAUUACCCAAACUAUGGGGAUUUCACCAUUUUUUGGAUUAUGAGCAUAUCAGUGACAGAUUUCUUUUCUUCUCCACCUUCCUGGUCUUUCUUGGCUGAAAGGGAAAGAACAGAAAAGCAUGAUUAAGAGUGAGCCCUGUAGUCCCAGCUACUCAGGAGCCUGAAGCAGGAGGAUCACUGGAGCCGAGAAGUUUGAGUCUGCAGUGAGCUAUGAUGACAUCACUGCGCUCGAGCCCAGACAAAAGAAUCCAGAAAAAACAGUUCUACACUUCGUAUGGAACCAAGAAAAGACCCUGAAUAGCCAAUGCAAUCUUAUGUACUAAGAAUAAAUUGGGAGGCCUCACUCUAUCAGACUUCAAGCUAUACAAGGCUAUAGUAACCAAAACAGAAAGGUACUGGCACAAAAACAGAGACAUAGCUCCAGAUAGAAAACCAUCCUCAUAUUCUCAUCUGACCUUUCACAAAGCAGACAAAAACAUACACUGGGGGAAAAGAACCUCUGUUCAAUAAACAGCAACAUGUAAAAGACUGGAAUAGGAUCUGUAACUCUUACCACUCACAAAAAUUAACUCACAAUGGAUAACAGACUGAAAUCUAAGACAUGAAACUGUAAGAACACUAGAAGAAAAUGUUGGAAAAAGCUCUUCUAAAUAUCAACCUAUGCAAAGAAUUUAUGAAGAAGAUCCCAUGGCAAUCAUAGCAACAACAAAAAUUAAUCUGACAUAAUCAAAUUAAAAAGUUUCUGCACAGCCAAGGACACAGUCAAUACAGCCAACAGCCUACAGAAUGGUAGAAUAUUUGCAUGCUAUACACAUGAUAAAGGGCUGAUAAUCAGAAUCUACAAAGAACUUGAGCAAAUCACCAAGAAAAAACCAAACAACCAUAUAAAUAUUGUUUGUUUGUUUGUUCAGAGACAGUCUCACUUGUUGCCCUGGGUUGAGUGCCAUGGUGUCCUCAUAGCUCACAGCAACCUCAACUCAAACUCUUGGGCUCAAGCAAUUCUUUUCCCUCAGCUUCUUGAGUAGCUGGGACUACAGGGCCAACCACAAAGCCUGGUUAAUCUAUUUUUAGUAGAGACAGGAGUCUCACUCUUGUUCAGGUGGCUCUCAAACUUGCAAGCUCAAGCACUCUGAUGCCUUGGCCUCCCAGAGUGCUCGGAUUAUAGGUGUGAGCCACCAUGCCUGGCAAACAACCUUAUUAAAAAGUGGG